GUAGGGUGCAAGCGUUAAUCGGAAUUACUGGGCGUAAAGCGUGCGCAGGCGGUUUUGUAAGUCUGUCGUGAAAGCCCCGGGCUCAACCUGGGAAUUGCGAUGGAGACUGCAAGGCUUGAAUCUGGCAGAGGGGGGUAGAAUUCCACGUGUAGCAGUGAAAUGCGUAGAGAUGUGGAGGAACACCGAUGGCGAAGGCAGCCCCCUGGGUCAAGAUUGACGCUCAUGCACGAAAGCGUGGGGGGAGCAAACAGGAUUAAAUACCCUGGUAGUCCACGCCCUAAACCGAUGUCUACAGUUGUCGGGUUUUAAUUAACUUGGUAACGCAGCUAACGCGUGAAGUAGACCGCCUGGGGAUACGGUCGCAAGAUUA
rnacentral:rRNA from 1 species